rnacentral:rRNA from 1 species
AGAGUUUGAUCCUGGCUCAGGACGAACGCUGGCGGCGUGCCUAAUACAUGCAAGUAGAACGCUGAAGAGAGGAGCUUGCUCUUCUUGGAUGAGUUGCGAACGGGUGAGUAACGCGUAGGUAACCUGCCUUGUAGCGGGGGAUAACUAUUGGAAACGAUAGCUAAUACCGCAUAACAAUGGAUGACCCAUGUCAUUUAUUUGAAAGGGGCAAAUGCUCCACUACAAGAUGGACCUGCGUUGUAUUAGCUAGUAGGUGAGGUAACGGCUCACCUAGGCGACGAUACAUAGCCGACCUGAGAGGGUGAUCGGCCACACUGGGACUGAGACACGGCCCAGACUCCUACGGGAGGCAGCAGUAGGGAAUCUUCGGCAAUGGGGGCAACCCUGACCGAGCAACGCCGCGUGAGUGAAGAAGGUUUUCGGAUCGUAAAGCUCUGUUGUAAGUCAAGAACGAGUGUGAGAGUGGAAAGUUCACACUGUGACGGUAGCUUACCAGAAAGGGACGGCUAACUACGUGCCAGCAGCCGCGGUAAUACGUAGGUCCCGAGCGUUGUCCGGAUUUAUUGGGCGUAAAGCGAGCGCAGGCGGUUUGAUAAGUCUGAAGUUAAAGGCUGUGGCUCAACCAUAGUUCGCUUUGGAAACUGUCAAACUUGAGUGCAGAAGGGGAGAGUGGAAUUCCAUGUGUAGCGGUGAAAUGCGUAGAUAUAUGGAGGAACACCGGUGGCGAAAGCGGCUCUCUGGUCUGUAACUGACGCUGAGGCUCGAAAGCGUGGGGAGCGAACAGGAUUAGAUACCCUGGUAGUCCACGCCGUAAACGAUGAGUGCUAGGUGUUGGAUCCUUUCCGGGAUUCAGUGCCGCAGCCAACGCAUUAAGCACUCCGCCUGGGGAGUACGACCGCAAGGUUGAAACUCAAAGGAAUUGACGGGGGCCCGCACAAGCGGUGGAGCAUGUGGUUUAAUUCGAAGCAACGCGAAGAACCUUACCAGGUCUUGACAUCCCGAUGCUAUUUCUAGAGAUAGAAAGUUACUUCGGUACAUCGGUGACAGGUGGUGCAUGGUUGUCGUCAGCUCGUGUCGUGAGAUGUUGGGUUAAGUCCCGCAACGAGCGCAACCCCUAUUGUUAGUUGCCAUCAUUCAGUUGGGCACUCUAGCGAGACUGCCGGUAAUAAACCGGAGGAAGGUGGGGAUGACGUCAAAUCAUCAUGCCCCUUAUGACCUGGGCUACACACGUGCUACAAUGGUUGGUACAACGAGUUGCGAGUCGGUGACGGCAAGCUAAUCUCUUAAAGCCAAUCUCAGUUCGGAUUGUAGGCUGCAACUCGCCUACAUGAAGUCGGAAUCGCUAGUAAUCGCGGAUCAGCACGCCGCGGUGAAUACGUUCCCGGGCCUUGUACACACCGCCCGUCACACCACGAGAGUUUGUAACACCCGAAGUCGGUGAGGUAACCUUUUGGAGCCAGCCGCCUAAGGUGGGAUAGAUGAUUGGGGUGAAGUCGUAACAAGGUA